rnacentral:lncRNA from 1 species
UUUGGUGUAUUUAUUGCUGCUUAAUUUCAUAAUUUCCUUUUUUUCCCCCCUUCUUUCUCUUCCCAGAUCACUGACGAUCAGUUUGUGGCCUUCCCCUGAAGGGACCUUUCCUGUCUCUCCUGUGCAUGCUGAAACAAAGAGCUUUCUUUUAUUGAUACCUGGCUAAAAUAUGUGAAUUUAACAUUUAAAGUUGACUGACUACUUUUGCCAUGAAGAAAAAAACGGCACACUUCCUUCUCUCUCUCCUGUGGGCAGAAACAUGAGAUCUGAUGCGGUGACUGCAAAAGCUAUUUCUUCGUCUGAUGUAUUAAGGAGCCCUCUGCUGUCGGAAAUCUUCUCCCCAUACCUGCUAUUCAUAAACUUUGCUUCUGUGGCUGAUUGAUGGUGAAUUUUUGACACCCAGAGUACAAUCUGAAGGUAUGGGAAGGUGAUUAGUAGAAUUUGAAAUGAGAUAUGAAGAAUUAUUAGUGGCAGAAGUAAUGGGUGAAAUAGAGAGGAGAAGCAGUAGGCAGAGACAGUGAUAUUUUUUUUCUUCCAGACUACAUGAGGCAGAAAAGAAAGAAAAAAAAAAGUCUGUGGGUAAAGGUUUUUAGCCAUCCAGUUAUAAAUAAAGAAAGAAAGAAAGGAAUAUAAGAGAAAAGG